GCCCGGCUAGCUCAGUCGGUAGAGCAUGAGGCUCUUAACUUCAGGGUCGUGGGUUCGAGCCCCACGUCGGGCG
rnacentral:tRNA from 1 species